UGAGGAAUAUUGGUCAAUGGGCGGGAGCCUGAACCAGCCAAGUCGCGUGAGGGAAGACGGUCUUACGGAUUGUAAACCUCUUUUGCCGGGGAGCAAAGGGCGCCACGCGUGGCGUUUCGAGAGUACCCGGAGAAAAAGCAUCGGCUAACUCCGUGCCAGCAGCCGCGGUAAUACGGAGGAUGCGAGCGUUAUCCGGAUUUAUUGGGUUUAAAGGGUGCGUAGGCGGGCCGGUAAGUCAGCGGUAAAAUAGCGGGGCUCAACCCCGUCGAGCCGUUGAAACUGCCGGUCUUGAGUGGGCGAGAAGUGCGCGGAAUGCGUGGUGUAGCGGUGAAAUGCAUAGAUAUCACGCAGAACCCCGAUUGCGAAGGCAGCGCACCGGCGCCCGACCUGACGCUGAAGCACGAAAGGCAGUGGGGUAGUCGAACAGGAUUAGAUACC
rnacentral:rRNA from 1 species